AAAUUGAAGAGUUUGAUCAUGGCUCAGAUUGAACGCUGGCGGCAGGCCUAACACAUGCAAGUCGAGCGGUAGCACAGAGAGCUUGCUCUCGGGUGACGAGCGGCGGACGGGUGAGUAAUGUCUGGGAAACUGCCUGAUGGAGGGGGAUAACUACUGGAAACGGUAGCUAAUACCGCAUAAUGUCGCAAGACCAAAGUGGGGGACCUUCGGGCCUCAUGCCAUCAGAUGUGCCCAGAUGGGAUUAGCUAGUAGGUGGGGUAAUGGCUCACCUAGGCGACGAUCCCUAGCUGGUCUGAGAGGAUGACCAGCCACACUGGAACUGAGACACGGUCCAGACUCCUACGGGAGGCAGCAGUGGGGAAUAUUGCACAAUGGGCGCAAGCCUGAUGCAGCCAUGCCGCGUGUGUGAAGAAGGCCUUCGGGUUGUAAAGCACUUUCAGCGGGGAGGAAGGCGGUGAGAUUAAUAACCUCAUCGAUUGACGUUACCCGCAGAAGAAGCACCGGCUAACUCCGUGCCAGCAGCCGCGGUAAUACGGAGGGUGCAAGCGUUAAUCGGAAUUACUGGGCGUAAAGCGCACGCAGGCGGUCUGUCAAGUCGGAUGUGAAAUCCCCGGGCUCAACCUGGGAACUGCAUUCGAAACUGGCAGGCUAGAGUCUUGUAGAGGGGGUAGAAUUCCAGGUGUAGCGGUGAAAUGCGUAGAGAUCUGGAGGAAUACCGGUGGCGAAGGCGGCCCCUGGACAAAGACUGACGCUCAGGUGCGAAAGCGUGGGGAGCAAACAGGAUUAGAUACCCUGGUAGUCCACGCCGUAAACGAUGUCGAUUUGGAAGUUGUGCCCUUGAGGCGUGGCUUCCGGAGCUAACGCGUUAAAUCGACCGCCUGGGGAGUACGGCCGCAAGGUUAAAACUCAAAUGAAUUGACGGGGGCCCGCACAAGCGGUGGAGCAUGUGGUUUAAUUCGAUGCAACGCGAAGAACCUUACCUGGUCUUGACAUCCACAGAACUUUCCAGAGAUGGAUUGGUGCCUUCGGGAACUGUGAGACAGGUGCUGCAUGGCUGUCGUCAGCUCGUGUUGUGAAAUGUUGGGUUAAGUCCCGCAACGAGCGCAACCCUUAUCCUUUGUUGCCAGCGGUUAGGCCGGGAACUCAAAGGAGACUGCCAGUGAUAAACUGGAGGAAGGUGGGGAUGACGUCAAGUCAUCAUGGCCCUUACGACCAGGGCUACACACGUGCUACAAUGGCAUAUACAAAGAGAAGCGACCUCGCGAGAGCAAGCGGACCUCAUAAAGUAUGUCGUAGUCCGGAUUGGAGUCUGCAACUCGACUCCAUGAAGUCGGAAUCGCUAGUAAUCGUAGAUCAGAAUGCUACGGUGAAUACGUUCCCGGGCCUUGUACACACCGCCCGUCACACCAUGGGAGUGGGUUGCAAAAGAAGUAGGUAGCUUAACCUUCGGGAGGGCGCUUACCACUUUGUGAUUCAUGACUGGGGUGAAGUCGUAACAAGGUAACCGUAGGGGAACCUGCGGUUGGAUCACCUCCUUA
rnacentral:rRNA from 1 species